rnacentral:misc_RNA from 1 species
UGAUUCGAUUGGUGCAGGCCGGGAAUUUGAUCAUUGAACAAUAUUCCACGGUUCUCGGCAUCACUACGAUCUCCAA